rnacentral:rRNA from 1 species
AUUGUCUGUACUGGUGAGAUGAGUCUCUACCUUCUGAGGAACUUUCAUGCCAUUCGUUUGGUGUGAUGGGAAAUCUGGACUGUUACUUUGAAAAAAUUAGAGUGUUUAAAGCAGGCUAACGUCUGAAUACAUUAGCAUGGAAUAAUGAAAUAGGACGGAUUGAUUCUAUUUCGUUGGUUUCUAGGGUCACCGUAAUGAUUAAUAGGGAUAGUUGGGGGCAUUAGUAUUCAAUUGUCAGAGGUGAAAUUCUUGGAUUUAUUGAAGACUAACUACUGCGAAAGCAUUUGCCAAGGAUGUUUUCAUUAAUCAAGAACGAAAGUUAGGGGAUCGAAGACGAUCAGAUACCGUCGUAGUCUUAACCAUAAACUAUGCCGACUAGGGAUCGGACGCAGUUAAUUUUAUAAUGACGUGUUCGGCACCUUACG